ACUCUAAUAGUUUACAUAAAACAAUGGUCUUGUAAACCAAAGAACGAAGACAACCCCCUUCUUAGAGUA
rnacentral:tRNA from 1 species